AGGAAUAUUGGUCAAUGGACGAGAGUCUGAACCAGCCAAGUAGCGUGAAGGAUGACUGCCCUAUGGGUUGUAAACUUCUUUUAUACGGGAAUAAAGUGGAGUAUGCAUACUCCUUUGUAUGUACCGUAUGAAUAAGGAUCGGCUAACUCCGUGCCAGCAGCCGCGGUAAUACGGAGGAUCCGAGCGUUAUCCGGAUUUAUUGGGUUUAAAGGGAGCGUAGGCGGGUGCUUAAGUCAGUUGUGAAAGUUUGCGGCUCAACCGUAAAAUUGCAGUUGAUACUGGGCGCCUUGAGUGCAGCAUAGGUAGGCGGAAUUCGUGGUGUAGCGGUGAAAUGCUUAGAUAUCACGAAGAACUCCGAUUGCGAAGGCAGCUUACUGGACUGUAACUGACGCUGAUGCUCGAAAGUGUGGGUAUCAAACAGGAUUAGAUACCCUGGUAGUCCACACAGUAAACGAUGAAUACUCGCUGUUUGCGAUAUACAGUAAGCGGCCAAGCGAAAGCAUUAAGUAUUCCACCUGGGGAGUACGCCGGCAACGGUGAAACUCAAAGGAAUUGACGGGGGCCCGCACAAGCGGAGGAACAUGUGGUUUAAUUCGAUGAUACGCGAGGAACCUUACCCGGGCUUAAAUUGCAUUUGAAUAUAUUGGAAACAGUAUAGCCGUAAGGCAAAUGUGAAGGUGCUGCAUGGUUGUCGUCAGCUCGUGCCGUGAGGUGUCGGCUUAAGUGCCAUAACGAGCGCAACCCUUAUCUUUAGUUACUAACAGGUCAUGCUGAGGACUCUAGAGAGACUGCCGUCGUAAGAUGUGAGGAAGGUGGGGAUGACGUCAAAUCAGCACGGCCCUUACGUCCGGGGCUACACACGUGUUACAAUGGGGGGUACAGAAGGCAGCUACCUGGUGACAGGAUGCUAAUCCCAAAAGCCUCUCUCAGUUCGGAUCGAAGUCUGCAACCCGACUUCGUGAAGCUGGAUUCGCUAGUAAUCGCGCAUCAGCCAUGGCGCGGUGAAUACGUUCCCG
rnacentral:rRNA from 1 species